rnacentral:rRNA from 1 species
GGCGGGCGGGGCGGGGGCACGGGGGGAACGCGAAGAACCUUACCUACUCUUGACAUCCAGAGAACUUAGCAGAGAUGCUUUGGUGCCUUCGGGAACUCUGAGACAGGUGCUGCAUGGCUGUCGUCAGCUCGUGUUGUGAAAUGUUGGGUUAAGUCCCGCAACGAGCGCAACCCUUAUCCUUUGUUGCCAGCGGUUCGGUCGGGAACUCAAAGGAGACUGCCAGUGAUAAACUGGAGGAAGGUGGGGAUGACGUCAAGUCAUCAUGGCCCUUACGAGUAGGGCUACACACGUGCUACAAUGGCAUAUACAAAGAGAAGCGACCUCGCGAGAGCAAGCGGACCUCAUAAAGUAUGUCGUAGUCCGGAUUGGAGUCUGCAACUCGACUCCAUGAAGUCGGAAUCGCUAGUAAUCGUAGAUCAGAAUGCUACGGUGAAUACGUUCCCGGGUCUUGUACACACCGA